UACGUAGGGGGCAAGCGUUGUCCGGAAUCAUUGGGCGUAAAGCGCGCGUAGGCGGCUCGAUAAGUCCGCUGUGAAAGUCAAAGGCUCAACCUUUGAAUGCCGGUGGAUACUGUCGAGCUAGAGUACGGAAGAGGCGAGUGGAAUUCCUGGUGUAGCGGUGGAAUGCGCAGAUAUCAGGAGGAACACCAACGGCGAAGGCAGCUCGCUGGGACGGUACUGACGCUAAGGCGCGAAAGCGUGGGGAGCAAACAGG
rnacentral:rRNA from 1 species